GUGCUCGCUUUGGCAGCACAUAUACUAAAAUUGGAAUGAUGCAGAGAACAUUAGCAUGGCUCUUGUAUAAGGAUGACAAGCAAAUUCAUGAAGCAUUCCAUGUUUUU
ensembl:snRNA U6 U6 spliceosomal RNA